GACGAACGCUGGCGGCGUGCUUAACACAUGCAAGUCGAACGGAAAGGCCCUGCUUUUGUGGGGUGCUCGAGUGGCGAACGGGUGAGUAACACGUGAGUAACCUGCCCUUGACUUUGGGAUAACUUCAGGAAACUGGGGCUAAUACCGGAUAGGAGCUCCUGCUGCAUGGUGGGGGUUGGAAAGGUUCGGCGGGUGGGGAUGGACUCGCGGCUUAUCAGCUUGUUGGUGGGGUAGUGGCUUACCAAGGCUUUGACGGGUAGCCGGCCUGAGAGGGUGACCGGCCACAUUGGGACUGGGAUACGGCCAAGACUCCUACGGGAGGCAGCAGUGGGGAAUAUUGCACAAUGGGCGGAAGCCUGAUGCAGCAACGCCGCGUGCGGGAUGACGGCCUUCGGGUUGUAAACCGCUUUCGCCUGUGACGAAGCGUGAGUGACGGUAAUGGGUAAAGAAGCACCGGCUAACUACGUG
rnacentral:rRNA from 1 species